rnacentral:rRNA from 1 species
AACGGUCCUAAGGUAGCGAAAUUCGUUGUCGGGUAAGUUCCGACCUGCAUGAAAGGCGUAACGAGUGAAGCACUGUCUCAAACAGCAACCCGGUGAAAUUGUAGUCGUGGUGAAGAUGCCACGUACCCGCAGCUAGACGGAAAGACCCCAUGAACCUUUACUGCAGGCUGAUAUUGGGACUAGGCAUGUUUUGUGUAGGAUAGGUGGGAGGCUUCGAAACGGAGACGCCAGUUUUCGUUGAGCCAUCCUUGAAAUACCACCCUGAGCCUGUUUGGUUUCUAACACGUGUAGUGAAUCCUGCACGUGGACAGUUUCAGUUGGGCAGUUUGACUGGGGCGGUCUCCUCCUAAAGAGUAACGGAGGAGCCCAAUGGUACCCUCAGCCUGGUUGGCAAUCAGGCGUAGAGCGUAAACGUAGAAGGGUGCUUGACUGCGAGACCUAUAAGUCGAGCAGAGACGAAAGUCGGGGUUAGUGAUCCGGCGGUUCCGAGUGGAAGGGCCGUCG